CAGGUUGACCAGACGGCCGCGUGUGCCGAACAUUAUUCGGCGCCCGAGGAACGUCCGGGCACCGCAGAGCAGGAUGGUGGCUAACGGCCACUCGGGGUAACCCGCAGGAAAGUGCCACAGAAAGCUAGACCGCCGGCCACCUUCUGGGGGCCGGUCAGGGUGAAAAGGUGGUGUAAGAGACCACCAGGAUGGCAGGUGACUGCCACCGCUGGGUAAACCCCAUCCGGUGCAAGGCCCAGCAGGACACGCUUGAAACCCGCUUGGUUGAUGUGUCCGGGUAGGCCGCUUGAGCCUAGCGGCAACGUUAGGCCUAGAUGGAUGGCCGUCACGUUCGAUUCCGAACGGACAGAACCCGGCGUAUCGGUUGGCCUGCUCU
rnacentral:RNase_P_RNA from 1 species